rnacentral:lncRNA from 1 species
UCCAGCCAGUUUCUAACCCAACGAAGCGUGCGCCAGUCCAAGGCAAGAGCAGCCAGUGAAGCCAAGAGCAGCCAGUAAAAAGAGCCACCUCCUUUCAGUGCUCUUUGGACCCUGUCUGUGCCAGGUGAGACACGACCCUUCAUCAGGGCUGUGGGGGCAGUGGGAUGUGGACAGUGCAGAAGCUGGAGCUGUGUGCUUCAUCAUACAGGGCAUGGCUCAGGUGUGAUUCCCCCUUGGGAGUGUUCCCCCAACUCCACAGGAGACCCUGGAUGGAAAACUGCCUCAAGAGUUCCCCUGUAGCUGCAGUAGCACCUCUGCUGAGACAUGGGGCUCUGCAGUGCCCAUGUAAAAAAAUCAAGAGUUGGGGAUAUCAGUAGGCCCUGGCCUGUGCCACUACUGCUCCAAGCUCUCCCUCACACUUUUACUAACCUCUGUCUGGGAAUUUACAUGAGCUCGGUUGUUAAUGCUCACCAUGUACACAUGGAAGCAAGACAUGAGCUCAGCAUCUCCUCAGCAUCUGGGAUUGUCCCAGCACAGAGCUCCAUAAACUCACAGCAUGUUCAUGUCUCCCACAGGCAGCAGCCCCUCACACAAGGCCCAGCUCCCUUCCAGAGGGUCAGCCAUGCCCCUGGAGGUCUGGAUCCUGCGCUCUGCCCUCAGCCUGCUCCUGCUGCUGUCUGCCCCCAUCAUCACCCUCCUCCUGGAGAGAUGCAGCCACAGUGCCAACGAGGCCAGGCAGCCUGGAGACGUCCCUGUCCCCAUGGUGCUCUGAUGUCCUCCUGGGCUCCAUGCUGCUCUGUCAUGCUCAGAGCAUGACCCCCACACAUCUGUCAGACUCCCGCUACUGAUGGUUUCAAGACAGCUGUGGCAGCAUGCCCAAGGGAUGUGCUGCCACUGCUCUGCUUCCCUUGGCUCAGCGCCUUCCUUUGAGGAAGGGAAUUGAGAGAGCAGCGUGGGGGAGCUCAGGCGCCUUAUGGACGAAGCCUCUGCCUUUCCUGGUUGUUGUGUGGUCGCAUGAGGGUCAAAGUGUGGGUGCAGAUGGCUCCCACAGUGCUGUGCUGGCAGCAGUAUGGCCCCAGCUGAGACUCCCUGAGAGUUCUUAAUAAGCUGAUUCACCAACAGGGUGAAGGAGAAAUCUGCCCACAGCCUUGGCAGAUGCCCUAGAGCUCUGGCGUCACUUUGGCCUUGGUGCAGGAUUCCCCUGAUGCCAUCAUUUGUCUAGACAUUGAAGAGAAGCAGAGUGAUG